GAACCGUAGCUCAGUGUCAGAGCACCUGCUUUGCAUGCAGAAGGUCCCAGGUUCAACCCUCGGCAUCACCA